rnacentral:rRNA from 1 species
AUUGAACGCUGGCGGCAUGCCUUACACAUGCAAGUCGAACGGUAACGCGGGGCAACCUGGCGACGAGUGGCGAACGGGUGAGUAAUAUAUCGGAACGUGCCCAGUAGUGGGGGAUAGCCCGGCGAAAGCCGGAUUAAUACCGCAUACGACCUAUGGGUGAAAGCGGGGGAUCGCAAGACCUCGCGCUAUUGGAGCGGCCGAUAUCUGAUUAGCUAGUUGGUGGGGUAAAAGCCUACCAAGGCUACGAUCAGUAGCUGGUCUGAGAGGACGACCAGCCACACUGGGACUGAGACACGGGCCCGACUCCUACGGGAGGCAGCAGUAAGGAAUAUUGGUCAAUGGACGCAAGUCUGAACCAGCCAUGCCGCGUGGAGGAUGAAGGUCCUCUGGAUUGUAAACUUCUUUUAUAUGGGACGAAACGGUCUGGGUUAAUACCCCGGGCUAAUGACGGUACCGUAAGAAUAAGCACCGGCUAACUACGUG